UUUCGCAAUGCCCGAAAGGGUGACGAAGCGACGCCGCGUGCGGGAAGAAGGCCUUCGGGUUGUAAACCGCUGUCGGGAGUUAAGAAGUGCAAGGGUGUUAAUAGCAUCUUUGCUUGACUAAGGCUCCGGAGGAAGCCACGGCUAGCUCUGUGCCAGCAGCCGCGGUAAUACAGAGGCGGCAAGCGUUGUUCGGAAUUAUUGGGCGUAAAGAGCACGUAGGCGGCUAUGCAAGUCGGUUGUGAAAGCCUUCCGCUCAACGGAAGAACGGCAUCCGAUACUGCAUGGCUCGAGUGCGGGAGGGGAGAGUGGAACUUCUGGUGGAGCGGUGAAAUGCGUAGAUAUCAGAAGGAACACCGGCGGCGAAAGCGACUCUCUAACCCGUAACUGACGCUGAGUGUGCGAAAGCUAGGGGAGCAAACGGGAUUAGAUACCCCGGUAGUCCUAGCCGUAAACGAUGGGCACUAAGUAGAGGGGUUUU
rnacentral:rRNA from 1 species